GAUGAACGCUGGCGGCGUGCCUAAUACAUGCAAGUCGAGCGAACGGACGAGAAGCUUGCUUCUCUGAUGUUAGCGGCGGACGGGUGAGUAACACGUGGAUAACCUACCUAUAAGACUGGGAUAACUUCGGGAAACCGGAGCUAAUACCGGAUAAUAUUUUGAACCGCAUGGUUCAAAAGUGAAAGACGGUCUUGCUGUCACUUAUAGAUGGAUCCGCGCUGCAUUAGCUAGUUGGUAAGGUAACGGCUUACCAAGGCAACGAUGCAUAGCCGACCUGAGAGGGUGAUCGGCCACACUGGAACUGAGACACGGUCCAGACUCCUACGGGAGGCAGCAGUAGGGAAUCUUCCGCAAUGGGCGAAAGCCUGACGGAGCAACGCCGCGUGAGUGAUGAAGGUCUUCGGAUCGUAAAACUCUGUUAUUAGGGAAGAACAUAUGUGUAAGUAACUGUGCACAUCUUGACGGUACCUAAUCAGAAAGCCACGGCUAACUACGUGCCAGCAGCCGCGGUAAUACGUAGGUGGCAAGCGUUAUCCGGAAUUAUUGGGCGUAAAGCGCGCGUAGGCGGUUUUUUAAGUCUGAUGUGAAAGCCCACGGCUCAACCGUGGAGGGUCAUUGGAAACUGGAAAACUUGAGUGCAGAAGAGGAAAGUGGAAUUCCAUGUGUAGCGGUGAAAUGCGCAGAGAUAUGGAGGAACACCAGUGGCGAAGGCGACUUUCUGGUCUGUAACUGACGCUGAUGUGCGAAAGCGUGGGGAUCAAACAGGAUUAGAUACCCUGGUAGUCCACGCCGUAAACGAUGAGUGCUAAGUGUUAGGGGGUUUCCGCCCCUUAGUGCUGCAGCUAACGCAUUAAGCACUCCGCCUGGGGAGUACGACCGCAAGGUUGAAACUCAAAGGAAUUGACGGGGACCCGCACAAGCGGUGGAGCAUGUGGUUUAAUUCGAAGCAACGCGAGGAACCUUACCAAAUCUUGACAUCCUUUGACAACUCUAGAGAUAGAGCCUUCCCCUUCGGGGGACAAAGUGACAGGUGGUGCAUGGUUGUCGUCAGCUCGUGUCGUGAGAUGUUGGGUUAAGUCCCGCAACGAGCGCAACCCUUAAGCUUAGUUGCCAUCAUUAAGUUGGGCACUCUAAGUUGACUGCCGGUGACAAACCGGAGGAAGGUGGGGAUGACGUCAAAUCAUCAUGCCCCUUAUGAUUUGGGCUACACACGUGCUACAAUGGACAAUACAAAGGGCAGCGAAACCGCGAGGUCAAGCAAAUCCCAUAAAGUUGUUCUCAGUUCGGAUUGUAGUCUGCAACUCGACUACAUGAAGCUGGAAUCGCUAGUAAUCGUAGAUCAGCAUGCUACGGUGAAUACGUUCCCGGGUCU
rnacentral:rRNA from 1 species